GAAAAUUCAUAUUAAUAGUUUUGAUAGGUCACCACCACAUAAUUAUUUAUUAUAUUCACACCAUGUAUUCUAUAUUCACUAUCAACUAAGGUAAAUCUGACCAAAGGUAUUGAUCUGCUAGGAAAAAAGAGCCUGAUCUGCAAUGCUACAUAGCUAACAAGAUUAAGCUUAGAAUUAUGACUGUACAAUACAAAUAACAUGAUAGAACUGUGCAAAACGACAUCCUACUUAUAAAAUUUGUAGCAAUGGUCUUCCUUUUAGCAACUAAAAUCAACCAUGCAUGCCUAUUUAUUCAACCACGAUAAAAUUUCAGUCCUAAACAACACUAUCCAUGCUGAAUCUGAAUCACCAAUAGUCAUCAACAGUGCAUGCAGAAAUUGACAGCACAACUCAAGUUCUCUUCCUCUUUUGAAUUUGACAGUACCUGAACAAAGCAAGACGCACGCACGCACCUCAUACAUGCUGGCCAGCUGCACACGCCUCUGCCGGCCAACACUAAUGCACAACACGCCGACAUCAUCACGCACGCAGUAUGCCUGGCUCCGGCCUGCACACCCUGGUUGACCCCGCCGUUUAGCACCCUAGUUGUGACGCCGUGCAUAGAGCACACGAACGUCAUCUUCUCCAACACCAUCCGUAAGACGUCGUCGUCGAUUCAUCGUGCUCCUGCCUUCUCCCGUCUUGCCGACAACAUGAACCUCCUCGUGGUUAU
rnacentral:lncRNA from 1 species